UUUUAUUAAGUUGUCAUGACAACUUUCUGAUUCUCAAUAAAGUGGAGACAAGUAGGCUUUAACCUACACAUUAUCUAUAAGACAGAAGAACAGACCUGGAAGAUGAUGAAACACUCAUAUAUGCAUUUAGCCACUCAAUAAUUAUUUCACUGAAUCCUUCUUAGGAACCGUAUACAUUGCUAGGCACUUAGCUACAAAGAUUCCUUCCAUAACAGCAGGGAACUCUUAACCUUGUGUCAGGGCGUAUCAAACAUUCAGAUUAGAACAUGUUUUUCACAAUCACCCGGCACCCUAGAUUGGUUGCUUUUCCCACACACCCCAUUGCCUGGAAGUCGUAAAAGAUGGGAGAAGGAGAAUACAAGCUGAGAGUCUACCCUUGGUAAAGCUGGUAGGCCCCUGCAGAGAGGACUGAAGUUAAACGUACUAUGGAUUCUGGUGUGCUAUGGGAUACUAGGACGGUAAAGGCAGAGAUGAAUGGGUUAAGCAAGUCGUGUUCCAGGAUGAAAGGAAUAUUGACAAGAGUAAUGCCAGUAAAGGAACACAAAAACACAAGCACUGCUUUGAUACAAGUCUUCUGUGCAGCAACUAGAAGAUAGGCCAAUGAGAUCAUUUGGCCCCAACUGAUGUUUCCACUUUAUCUUCCUAUACUUUUUUUUUUUUUCCCAUUUGCUUGGCAUUUCUACCUAAUGGCAUCACUCUCUGUUUCUUGAAUGUUGGUCUUGAUGCCUUCCCACCUCCAUGCCCUUGUUCACAAGUUUCCCUUGGCCCAAAAACAAAACAAAAUGAACAAAAAAUUUCCUGUAUUUCAUCUUUUCUUUAAGAUGACCAAACUUUUAAGGCCUAACUCUAAUGCUGCUCUGUUAAGAAGUAUUUCUCCUGUCAGAAGAUAGCUGUUGUUCCUCUGAGCUUCCACAUCAUCAAAUUUAUUUUUUAACAAUUAUAGUAAGGGCCCUCUUCUAAUGAUGGUGUCCACUGAAAGAAAGCCAACCCCACAGUGGGUUGUCUUACUGAGGACUAUAGCCUGGGACAUAGUAUUUCAGAUUACUCCGAAGAAUUACUUCAAAGCUUGUUAGCUACAGAGAAUUAUAUAUACAAAAGGGAAAGGGGUACAUGUGCUCACAAGUAGUUCUCCAGAUACCUGUACAUCAUAAGGUAUAAUUCAGUUGUAAAAAUAUGUAUAUACAGUUGUAAAAUAUAAUGUAGUUAUAACUGUAAUAUAGUUGUAAAAAUUACGGUUUUGUGCUUUCUACAUAGACACAAUGAAGAUCCUUAGUCAUCUCAAUACAUUAUGUAUCUAUCAUAUCUGGUUGUUCAAAAAUAUUGUUUGCCUGCCUCUACCUAACUGGUUUUCCUGUUCUUCCUGUUCUUGAUUUCUCCUUGAGAUCGCUUGAGACAAUCACACAAUGCUAACAUAGUCACCUACUGCAGUUUUAGUGAACAAUGCAUUACUAGGUAUUUAUUUUUAUUUUUUAUUCUAGGUCUUAAAUUCUAAGAACACUGAAGACAAAAGCCCUACUGACUUAAGACAUUUUCAUGGGUUGGUUAUAGGGGAAGAGAAGGUUUCAGAUAUGGUAGAACCAAAAAAAUUCAAAUUUAUAGCUCUGAACUUUUUGCCUGAUACUAAGGCAAAGUUUAUUUAAAUGCCUUUUUUAAAAAAAAUUAAAUAUCUUUUUUUCCCCUUCUUUGCUUAUUCUGACUAAUGUCUGCCAUGAGGAGAGCAUAGUCGACAAGGCUGGGAGAAAAUUUUGCAAAUGUGGUGAAUCUAACACGAGACCAGAUUAUGUGGUGGGGUUUGGGAGAGGUUUAAGAAUUGUAGAUAACCAAGAACAAUGUUUCAGAGUUACUGAAUUUGAAGAAGGAUCA
ensembl:lncRNA